CCUACGGGUGGCUGCAGUGGGGGAUAUUGCACAAUGGAGGCAACUCUGAUGCAGCGACGCCGCGUGAGCGAAGAAGGCUUUCGAGUCGUAAAGCUCUGUCCUAUGGGAAGAUAAUGACGGUACCAUAGAAGGAAGCCCCGGCUAACUACGUGCCAGCAGCCGCGGUAAUACGUAGGGGGCGAGCGUUGUCCGGAAUUAUUGGGCGUAAAGGGUUCGUAGGCAGUAAUACAUGUCAGAUGUGAAAUCUUGUGGCUUAACCACAUCAAGCAUCUGAAACUGUAUCACUUGAGUGAAGGAGAGGUAAGUGGAAUUCCUAGUGUAGCGGUGAAAUGCGUAGAUAUUAGGAAGAAUACCAGUAGCGAAGGCGACUUACUGGCCUUUAACUGACGCUGAGGAACGAAAGCGUGGGUAGCAAACAGGCUUAGAUACCCUUGUAGUC
rnacentral:rRNA from 2 species